rnacentral:rRNA from 1 species
AACGAACGCUGGCGGCAUGCCUAACACAUGCAAGUCGAACGAGAUCUUCGGGUCUAGUGGCGCACGGGUGCGUAACGCGUGGGAAUCUGCCCUUUGGUUCGGAAUAACAGUUGGAAACGACUGCUAACACCGGAUGAUGACGAAAGUCCAAAGAUUUAUCGCCAGAGGAUGAGCCCGCGUAGGAUUAGCUAGUUGGUGUGGUAAAGGCGCACCAAGGCGACGAUCCUUAGCUGGUCUGAGAGGAUGAUCAGCCACACUGGGACUGAGACACGGCCCAGACUCCUACGGGAGGCAGCAGUGGGAAAUAUUGGACAAUGGGCGAAAGCCUGAUCCAGCAAUGCCGCGUGAGUGAUGAAGGCCUUAGGGUUGUAAAGCUCUUUUACCCGGGAUGAUAAUGACAGUACCGGGAGAAUAAACUCCGGCUAACUCCGUGCCAGCAGCCGCAGUAAGAC